rnacentral:lncRNA from 1 species
UUUCACAACUGUAAAAGAAAAAAAGAAGGGUUGAAUGGGGUGAAAGUUUGGGUUUAAAUAUAAAAAUUAAAAGAGUCAUUAAGAGGAGGAACAAAGAAAAACAGAGGAUAAGAGAAAGAAUUGAGAGUUAAAAAAUUAGAGAGCUGAAAACCCCCACUGUUUAUUUGAAGUUUCUCUUUUUGCUUCAUUGAUUUCAUUUCUCUUGAUUCAAAUACACUAAGACCGAUAUUAAGUAACUCUAGUAUAUCUUUGAGUUCAUUUGGCUUGUGUUAAUAUUGUUGUGGGUUAAGAUCCAUUUCCGAUGGUAUUUUCUAGUUUGAUUUUACUGGGUUUCUUAUCUGUUGCUGUUGGCAUUUCUGGGAUUCUACAGGUUUUUGAUCUGUUACUGCUAUGCUACUUACUGUUGUUGUUGUAUUGUUACUACUGCUGCUGAUUCUCGUCUUCCUCUUCUCUUGUUUCCAAUACCAGGUACACAACUUAGCUCAAUUUGAUGUAGCCGUCAGAUGUAAACAUGAAAUGAAAAUGCUCGGGCACUUAAUUAUUGGAUGUUGUUUAAUCGUUGAAUUUUAGUUUUGUAUUUAUAUUAUUAUUAUUAUUAUUAUUAUUUUGAUUUGGCAUGAUAAAUGGAAGCUUUGUUUGGAGGUUUCUAAUAAAGUGCAAAGGGAGUAGCUAGAAUCUUUGUAAUCCUCGUUUGAUAUCUUGGAUUAGCAUUUUGAAAUAUUAAUUUUAAAGUGGGGACAGUAGUUUGCUCUUAAAAAAUUCAC